UAAGUUUACCCUAAUUUUUUUUCCAGCCGCAUUCCCAUUCUCUCAUCUCUGUGUUCUUAAUUUUCUUUGCAACCCUAAUUUUUUCUUCUCUUAUCUCUUCGUAGAUCAGCACCACCACUAUCAGUCUCCGGCCGCCAUCACUCCUUUGCCCCCACCACCACCACUUCAUCGCCACCACUCCGGCUGCCAUUAAGGGGCGAGAUCACCACCUGAAGUCGGCGGUUUCUUUAAAAACACGACUAUGAUGCUUGAGGGCCAUCACCCUCAUCGUUGGAAAGCAAUGAAACCCUCUCUCGGGCAAAACAUUGGAUUUUCGUUUACCUAAACGGGAGACCAACAAGAAUGGCCACAUGACAGGUCACCUUCAAUCCUCUUGCUUUUUCCAACCAAAGAGUUAGCAACAGGUAGUCAGGUUAAUUCAUGGUCCUAAGAAUAUCACCUUUCUGAACCACCUUGAUGUUUCACAAGACAACUACACCAUCAAAGUUCGCAUUAAAAAUAAAAACAAUGCUGUUUACAAAGAGAUAUUUUCAAAUUUGUAGUUUUUGUUUUGUAUUUUUUUCCCUUAUUGUCAAUGAUAUCUUAUCGUAUAUAACUAUGGAUUGAUAAUCAAUUUGCUUCAAGUUUAUUGUUUUCAUA